rnacentral:tRNA from 1 species
UCUCUGAUGGUCCAGUGGUUAGGACUCUGACUUUCACUGCAGGGGGCACAGGUUCAAUACUUGGUCAGGGAA